AUUGAACGCUGGCGGCAGGCUUAACACAUGCAAGUCGAGCGGAGAUGAGGUGCUUGCACCUUAUCUUAGCGGCGGACGGGUGAGUAAUGCUUAGGAAUCUGCCUAUUAGUGGGGGACAACAUUCCGAAAGGAAUACUAAUACCGCAUACGUCCUACGGGAGAAAGCAGGGGAUCUUCGGACCUUGCGCUAAUAGAUGAGCCUAAGUCGGAUUAGCUAGUUGGUGGGGUAAAGGCCUACCAAGGCGACGAUCUGUAGCGGGUCUGAGAGGAUGGUCCGCCACACUGGGACUGGGACACGGCCCAGACUCCUACGGGAAGCAGCAGUGGGGAAUAUUGGACAAUGGGGGAAACCCUGAUCCAGCCAUGCCGCGUGUGUGAAGAAGGCCUUAUGGUUGUAAAGCACUUUAAGCGAGGAGGAGGCUACUGAGACUAAUACUCUUGGAUAGUGGACGUUACUCGCAGAAUAAGCACCGGCUAACUCUGUGCCAGCCGCCGCCGCGG
rnacentral:rRNA from 1 species